AGCCAAGCCCAACGCAAAACUUACUCUCUACUAGCCUAAAUGCAAUGUUAGCUCUGACGGAUAGGGUGAAAUCUAUUGUCAAUGUUGGACUCCAGGCCACACCGCGCCAAGAUUCUCUUCCUAUCCCCCCUCGCCUAAAACCACCGCCCACUGUGAUCCGAAAGCCCCUUCUCCACUCAAAAGUCUUAUCUAUGGCAUUUUCCUUUCGCUCCUCGUUCCUUCUCUUCGGAUUUUGUGGACUUUUGACUGGAGCCUGGUCGAAACCAACUGAUCAUGCAAAAGAAAACUGCUGUCCUAAAGGCUGGACUCAGGUGGACUGCCGUUGUUUCAUUUAUCAAGAUAGACGCAGGGCGUUGGCAGAUGCAGAGAGCGUCUGCAACAUUCUCGGUGGGAAUCUAGCCUCGGUCCACAGCGCUUUGGAAUAUGCUGUCGUUCUCGAACUGGUUCGGGCAUCUUCUGAUUCGACUGAUGACGUUUGGUUGGGAUUACACGAGGCGAUAGAGGAAGGUUCCUUCUUCUGGACUGAUGGCUCAGAAGUUGAUUUCACAGCCUUCAACAAUGACGACGAUGAUGGAGAUUGCAUUGAGCUUGAAUUCAGCGAUGGUCUCUGGGACAAUGACAGCUGCAGUGACACCAACAGAUUUGUUUGUGCCCGAGAUGCUGACCAAUGCGAGUACUGAUCGCCUGGCCGACUGUCAUCUCAUCCGCAACAAUUCCUUCUCAAGUAUCGUCUGCUGCUCUAACAUCAAACCUUAUAAUGAUUACAUGACUGCCUCGAACUAUAUUCCAGAGCUGUAACAAGCUAAUAUAAAGAGGAAUGGUGCUCAUUUGCGGACAGUCAUCCUCAGCAUUAAGGAUCAUGAGUUCAAAGGACUUCUGUGAAGGCGAAGAGCACCAUGUUUAAUACAGAGGGUGAAGAGUCGUGAAAUGUUAUUUGGACUUACCGCUUGGGGCAGUGCGAUGAUCCCGCAAAGGGCGAGCAACAGGAAGCCUGUCCCGGCUGGACUUCGGCGAAAACAUGCAGACCUUCCCCUGCAGUCCCCAAUCACAAGGCACAUGUGACAAGUUCCAUCGACGCCCUAUAGGCUUUAAUUGCAUGUGCUGGGAGGACAAAAAAAACACACACACAAAAAAAUCCCCAGGUUAUAUUCAGAUAUCAACUCACAGGUUUUUACAGGUGUUUGGACAUGAUAAACAUCCCACUACACCCCUCGACAGCCUUUCUGAUUUCCCACACGUUGUCCUGUAUUUUUCUGUCCUCUAUUAUCUUUUUCUCUCAUUUAGUCAUUGCCUGUCCUCACUGGUGGGCCCCCAGCAAUAAGAAUGUGAUUUGACUGUUGUAACACAGGCUCAGGAA